rnacentral:rRNA from 1 species
CGAGCGGCGGACGGGUGAGUAAUGCAUAGGAAUCUGCCCGAUAGUGGGGGAUAACCUGGGGAAACCCAGGCUAAUACCGCAUACGUCCUACGGGAGAAAGGGGGCUUCGGCUCCCGCUAUCGGAUGAGCCUAUGUCGGAUUAGCUGGUUGGUGAGGUAAAGGCUCACCAAGGCGACGAUCCGUAGCUGGUCUGAGAGGAUGAUCAGCCACAUCGGGACUGAGACACGGCCCGAACUCCUACGGGAGGCAGCAGUGGGGAAUAUUGGACAAUGGGGGGAACCCUGAUCCAGCCAUGCCGCGUGUGUGAAGAAGGCCCUCGGGUUGUAAAGCACUUUCAGUGAGGAAGAACGCCUGGUGGUUAAUACCCAUCAGGAAAGACAUCACUCACAGAAGAAGCACCGGCUAACUCCGUGCCAGCAGCCGCGGUAAUACGGAGGGUGCGAGCGUUAAUCGGAAUUACUGGGCGUAAAGCGCGCGUA